GCUAACCUUUUGGGGGCAGCGGACCACGGUAGGAUCAGCGACUGGGGUGAAGUCGUAACAAGGUAGCCGUAGGGGAACCUGCGGCUGGAUCACCUCCUUU
rnacentral:rRNA from 1 species